ACAAACAAAAUACCCCACGAAACAACAAAACCAAACAGUCCACUUCCAGGAUUCUGAGUUCACUAACAGACAGCCUGUGGUGACACAGUCCCGAAUCGUGCCACCUUAUCUUCACAAGCCAGCAGUUGCUUUAUAGUGGAGUAGCAGACAACCUUAGCAGGCAUGCUCUGAGACCAGACUCAUUAUGCUCGCCGCAGUCUAAGCAGUGUCCCCGGGUCGGCGCCCAGCUAGGAGCUGCUGGAGGAAGCUAGCAGCAGUUCGGGUUCCGGCGUAUUCUGCCCAAUUCCAAAAUGGCUCCCAGCCAAUCGUUUUUACAGCGGGAGGACUGAGUCCUCUGCACUCACCGCGAACCAGUGCAGUCCUCCACGUCCACCGCUUCCCUCCACUGCCGUGUCUCUGCAGAGGCCUCCAGGCUGGCCAGCCGCCACUGUCACCGUGACCAUGCGUCGCCAGCAGCUCCUCGUGCACGGGUCCUUAAACUCAAGAACCUCAGGAGCUGAAUGGGUCGAGGCAUAUGGCGCCAGAACACAGAUGGGCCUUCCAGAGUUUCUGGGAUUACAAGCGUGUACCACCAAAGUUGGCUAAGGAUGAGGAACAACCUGCAUGAAGCUCCAGAGAAUUCUCUUGAGAAACACAGGAAAUAGAGAACAAGUUAAAUGACAUCUUUCAGAAGCAAUCAACCAAAUCCAGAAUGUAAGACACUCUGCAGGACAAAUGAUCCAGCUGUCCCAAUAAGUCAGUGGUAUGGGAGGAGAAAGGAGAUGGGGCUAUUAUAGAAUAAAAGAAAUUUAAGACUUGUAAUAACCAAAUACAGCUUAUGAACCUCACUUGGAUCCUGAUGUGAACAAAUCAGCUCCAAAGAUAGCUCAGGAUGCGAUGACAUUAGGAAGCUAUUGUUCAUCUUAAGUGUAACACUGGCAGGGGAUUUAUAGUACUUUCAAUGUCCUUAUUAAGUAGAGAUUUUUACUGAGACAGUUCUGGGUGAAAUGACAUGCUCUAGAUUUUGCUUUAAAUACUCCAACAAAAACAUUGUCCCAUUGGA